rnacentral:rRNA from 1 species
AACGCUGGCGGCGUGCUUAACACAUGCAAGUCAGGGAGAAAGGGAUAGCAAUAUCCCGAGUAAACCGGCGCACGGGUGAGUAACGCGUAGGUAAUUUACCUUAGAGAUUGGGAUAACCUUGCGAAAGCGAGGCUAAUACCAAAUAGGCAAUCUUGAGGCAUCUCAAGAUUGUUAAAGGGUUGGCAACAACCCGCUCUAAGAUAAGCCUGCGUCCGAUUAGCUAGUUGGUAGGGUAAUGGCCUACCAAGGCGACGAUCGGUAGCUGGUCUGAGAGGAUGAUCAGCCACACUGGGACUGAGACACGGCCCAGACUCCUACGGGAGGCAGCAGUGAGGAAUAUUGGGCAAUGCCCGAAAGGGUGACCCAGCAACGCCGCGUGGAGGAUGAAGUCCUUCUGGAUGUAAACUCCUUUUAGAGGGGACGAAAAGCCCGUUAAGACGGGAAUUGACGGUACCCUCAGAAAAAGCACCGGCUAACUACGUGCCAGCAGCCGCGGUAAUACGUAGGGUGCAAGCGUUGUCCGGAUUCACUGGGUGUAAAGGGUGCGCAGGCGGGCUCUUAAGUCAAAGGUGAAAUCUCACGGCUUAACCGUGAAAUUGCCUUUGAUACUGAGAGUCUUGAGUACGGGAGAGGGAGAUGGAAUUCCAGGUGUAGCGGUGAAAUGCGUAGAUAUCUGGAGGAACACCGGAGGCGAAGGCGGUCUCCUGGCCCGUUACUGACGCUCAUGCACGAAAGCGUGGGG